AAAUUGAAGAGUUUGAUCAUGGCUCAGAUUGAACGCUGGCGGCAGGCCUAACACAUGCAAGUCGAGCGGAAACGAGUUAUCUGAACCUUCGGGGAACGAUAGCGGCGUCGAGCGGCGGACGGGUGAGUAAUGCCUAGGAAAUUGCCCUGAUGUGGGGGAUAACCAUUGGAAACGAUGGCUAAUACCGCAUGAUGCCUACGGGCCAAAGAGGGGGACCUUCGGGCCUCUCGCGUCAGGAUAUGCCUAGGUGGGAUUAGCUAGUUGGUGAGGUAAGGGCUCACCAAGGCGACGAUCCCUAGCUGGUCUGAGAGGAUGAUCAGCCACACUGGAACUGAGACACGGUCCAGACUCCUACGGGAGGCAGCAGUGGGGAAUAUUGCACAAUGGGCGCAAGCCUGAUGCAGCCAUGCCGCGUGU
rnacentral:rRNA from 1 species